UAAAAUAAUUAAGGGCACACAAAGGAUGCCUAGGUAGUAAGAGCCGAUGAAGGACGUGGUAAGCUGCGAUAAGCCUAGAUAAGUUGCAAUCGAACGUAAGAGUCUAGGAUUUCCGAAUGGAGCAAUCUAUUAAGAUGGAGUCUUAAUACGAAAGAGGGAACCGCGUGAACUGAAACAUCUAAGUAACGCGAGGAAAAGAAAGUAAAAACGAUACCCAAAGUAGCGGCGAGCGAAAUGGGUCAAGCCUAAACCUUAAAUAUGUCAAGGAUACAGCCGUUGUAUUUAAGGGGUUGAGGGACAGAGUGAUGAAGAACUGUAAGAUAUUCAAUAUAGUGUAUUGAUGAAUUAGAAUAGUCUGGAAAGGCUAACCGUAGAAGGUGAAAGUCCUGUAUAAGUAAAUCCUUACACAUAUAACUUUGCUCCCAAGUAACAUGGAACACGAGGAAUUCUGUGUGAAUCUGUGAGGACCAUAUCUCAUAAGGCUAAAUACUCUUACUAACCGAUAGCGCAUAGUACCGUGAGGGAAAGGUGAAAAGAACCCCUGGAGGGGAGUGAAAUAGAACCUGAAAUUGUGUGCUUACAAGCGGUCAGAGCCCAUUUGGGUGAUGGCGUGCCUUUUGGAGAAUGAUCCUGCGAGUUACGUUAAACGGCGAGGUUAAGUAUAACGGAGCCGAAGGGAAACCAAGUCUUAAUAGGGCGAUUUAGUCGUUUGGCGUAGACGCGAAACCUGGUGAUCUAAACCUGUCCAGGAUGAAGCUGUGGUAAGACACAGUGGAGGUCCUAACCCACCGCCGUUGAAAAGUUGGGGGAUGAGGUAGGUUUAGGGGUGAAAAGCCAAUCGAACCAGGAGAUAGCUCGUUCUCUCCGAAAUGCAUCUAGGUGCAGCCUUGAGUGUUCAAUUAUGGGGGUAGAGCACUGAAUGAUCUAGGGGGCAUAUUGCUUACUGAAAUCAAUCAAACUCCGAAUACCAUAAUUUAUAGCUCAGGAGUGAGACUAUGGGAGUUAACUUCCAUUGUCAAAAGGGAAACAACCCAGACCACCAGCUAAGGUCCCUAAUUAUAACUAAGUGGGAAAGGAGGUGGAGAUUCACAAACAACUAGGAGGUUGGCUUAGAAGCAGCCAUACCUUUAAAGAGUGCGUAAUAGCUCACUAGUCGAGAGUCUCUGCGCCGACAAUGUAACGGGGCUAAGUUAUAAACCGAAGCUGUGGAAUCCGUAAGGAUUGGUAGGAGAGCGUUCUGUAGGCCGUUGAAGGAGAAGGGUAACCGACUUUGGAGGUAUCAGAAGUGAGAAUGCAGGAAUAAGUAGCGAGAAAGGGGGCGAGAAUCCCCCUCGCCGGAAGACCAAGGUUUUCAGGGUAAAGCUUGUCUUCCCUGAGUAAGCCGGGACCUAAGCCCAGGCUAUAAUGCGUAGGCGAAUGGAAAACAGAUUAAUAUUUCUGUGCCAGUCAUGUAUUGUGAUGGAGGGACGCAGAAGGGUAUGCGCGCGGACGAACGGAAGUGUCCGUAGAAGUAUGUAGGGUGACUUAGUAGGAAAAUCCAUUAAGUUAGAUCUGAGGUAUGAUAUACAGUCGUAAGAUGAAUGCGCAAAUCCCACGCUGCCAAGAAAAGCUUCUAACGUUAAUAUAUGACUGCCCGUACUGUAAACCGACACAGGUGGUCAGGAUGAGAAAUCUAAGGCGGACAGGCUAACUCUCGUUAAGGAACUCUGCAAAAUAACCUCGUAACUUCGGGAGAAGAGGAGCCCUUGGGUGUUAGUAUCCACGCGAUACAAAGCGCUCGAGGGUCGCAGUGAAGAGGCUCAAGCAACUGUUUAACAAAAACACAGGUCUAUGCUAAGCUGUAAGGCGAUGUAUAUGGGCUGACACCUGCCCAGUGCUGGAAGGUUAAGAGGAGGAGUGAGAGCUCCGAAUUGAAGCCCCAGUGAACGGCGGCCGUAACUAUAACGGUCCUAAGGUAGCGAAAUUCCUUGUCGGGUAA
rnacentral:rRNA from 1 species